UUAAGCGACUAAGCGUACACGGUGGAUGCCCUGGCAGUCAGAGGCGAUGAAGGGCGUGCUAAUCUGCGAUAAGCGCCGGUAAGGUGAUAUGAACCGUUAUAACCGGCGAUACCCGAAUGGGGAAACCCAGUGUGAUUCGUCACACUAUCAUUAACUGAAUCCAUAGGUUAAUGAGGCGAACCGGGGGAACUGAAACAUCUAAGUACCCCGAGGAAAAGAAAUCAACCGAGAUUCCCCCAGUAGCGGCGAGCGAACGGGGAGGAGCCCAGAGCCUGAAUCAGCAUGUGUGUUAGUGGAAGCGUCUGGAAAGGCGCGCGAUACAGGGUGACAGCCCCGUACACAAAAGCGCAUGUGCUGUGAGCUCGAUGAGUAGGGCGGGACACGUGGUAUCCUGUCUGAAUAUGGGGGGACCAUCCUCCAAGGCUAAAUACUCCUGACUGACCGAUAGUGAACCAGUACCGUGAGGGAAAGGCGAAAAGAACCCCGGCGAGGGGAGUGAAAAAGAACCUGAAACCGUGUACGUACAAGCAGUGGGAGCACAGGUUUACCUGUGUGACUGCGUACCUUUUGUAUAAUGGGUCAGCGACUUAUAUUCUGUAGCAAGGUUAACCGUAUAGGGGAGCCGGAGGGAAACCGAGUCUUAAUUGGGCGUUAAGUUGCAGGGUAUAGACCCGAAACCCGGUGAUCUAGCCAUGGGCAGGUUGAAGGUUGGGUAACACUAACUGGAGGACCGAACCGACUAAUGUUGAAAAAUUAGCGGAUGACCUGUGGCUGGGGGUGAAAGGCCAAUCAAACCGGGAGAUAGCUGGUUCUCCCCGAAAGCUAUUUAGGUAGCGCCUCGUGAAUUCAUCUCCGGGGGUAGAGCACUGUUUCGGCUAGGGGGCCAUCCCGGCUUACCAACCCGAUGCAAACUGCGAAUACCGGAGAAUGUUAUCACGGGAGACACACGGCGGGUGCUAACGUCCGUCGUGAAGAGGGAAACAACCCAGACCGCCAGCUAAGGUCCCAAAGUCAUGGUUAAGUGGGAAACGAUGUGGGAAGGCCCAGACAGCCAGGAUGUUGGCUUAGAAGCAGCCAUCAUUUAAAGAAAGCGUAAUAGCUCACUGGUCGAGUCGGCCUGCGCGGAAGAUGUAACGGGGCUAAACCAUGCACCGAAGCUGCGGCAGCGAACGUAUCACCCAAGACAACUUUACGGAGUUGACGAUUGACGGAGCGAAGCGACGUCAAAGCGUUCAUUAAAGUCGAGUUGGCUUAGGGAUACGUUCGUUGGGUAGGGGAGCGUUCUGUAAGCCUGUGAAGGUGUGUCGUGAGGCAUGCUGGAGGUAUCAGAAGUGCGAAUGCUGACAUAAGUAACGAUAAAGCGGGUGAAAAGCCCGCUCGCCGGAAGACCAAGGGUUCCUGUCCAACGUUAAUCGGGGCAGGGUGAGUCGACCCCUAAGGCGAGGCCGAAAGGCGUAGUCGAUGGGAAACGGGUUAAUAUUCCCGUACUUGGUGUUACUGCGAAGGGGGACGGAGAAGGCUAUGUUGGCCGGGCGACGGUUGUCCCGGUUUAAGCGUGUAGGUGUGUGUUCCAGGUAAAUCCGGUUCACUUUAACACUGAGGCGUGACGACGAGGCACUACGGUGCUGAAGCAACAAAUGCCCUGCUUCCAGGAAAAGCCUCUAAGCAUCAGGUAACAUCAAAUCGUACCCCAAACCGACACAGGUGGUCAGGUAGAGAAUACCAAGGCGCUUGAGAGAACUCGGGUGAAGGAACUAGGCAAAAUGGUGCCGUAACUUCGGGAGAAGGCACGCUGACACGUAGGUGAAGUGAUUUACUCAUGGAGCUGAAGUCAGUCGAAGAUACCAGCUGGCUGCAACUGUUUAUUAAAAACACAGCACUGUGCAAACACGAAAGUGGACGUAUACGGUGUGACGCCUGCCCGGUGCCGGAAGGUUAAUUGAUGGGGUCAGCGUAAGCGAAGCUCCUGAUCGAAGCCCCGGUAAACGGCGGCCGUAACUAUAACGGUCCUAAGGUAGCGAAAUUCCUUGUCGGGUAAGUUCCGACCUGCACGAAUGGCGUAAUGAUGGCCAGGCUGUCUCCACCCGAGACUCAGUGAAAUUGAACUCGCUGUGAAGAUGCAGUGUACCCGCGGCAAGACGGAAAGACCCCGUGAACCUUUACUAUAGCUUGACACUGAACAUUGAGCCUUGAUGUGUAGGAUAGGUGGGAGGCUUUGAAGUGUGGACGCCAGUCUGCAUGGAGCCGACCUUGAAAUACCACCCUUUAAUGUUUGAUGUUCUAACGUGGACCCGUAAUCCGGGUUGCGGACAGUGUCUGGUGGGUAGUUUGACUGGGGCGGUCUCCUCCUAAAGAGUAACGGAGGAGCACGAAGGUUGGCUAAUCCUGGUCGGACAUCAGGAGGUUAGUGCAAUGGCAUAAGCCAGCUUGACUGCGAGCGUGACGGCGCGAGCAGGUGCGAAAGCAGGUCAUAGUGAUCCGGUGGUUCUGAAUGGAAGGGCCAUCGCUCAACGGAUAAAAGGUACUCCGGGGAUAACAGGCUGAUACCGCCCAAGAGUUCAUAUCGACGGCGGUGUUUGGCACCUCGAUGUCGGCUCAUCACAUCCUGGGGCUGAAGUAGGUCCCAAGGGUAUGGCUGUUCGCCAUUUAAAGUGGUACGCGAGCUGGGUUUAGAACGUCGUGAGACAGUUCGGUCCCUAUCUGCCGUGGGCGCUGGAGAACUGAGGGGGGCUGCUCCUAGUACGAGAGGACCGGAGUGGACGCAUCACUGGUGUUCGGGUUGUCAUGCCAAUGGCACUGCCCGGUAGCUAAAUGCGGAAGAGAUAAGUGCUGAAAGCAUCUAAGCACGAAACUUGCCCCGAGAUGAGUUCUCCCUGAGACUUAGAGUCUCCUGAAGGAACGUUGAAGACGACGACGUUGAUAGGCCGGGUGUGUAAGCGCAGCGAUGCGUUGAGCUAACCGGUACUAAUGAACCGUGAGGCUUAACCU
rnacentral:rRNA from 1 species